rnacentral:rRNA from 1 species
AGGAUGAACGCUAGCGGCAGGCCUAACACAUGCAAGUCGAGGGGCAGCGAGUCUAGCUUGCUAGAUGUCGGCGACCGGCGCACGGGUGAGCAACGCGUAUGGAACCUGCCCUUUACAGGGGAAUAGCCCAGGGAAACUUGGAUUAAUGCCCCGUGGUACCGUUAUGCAGCAUUGCUAGUUUACGGUUAAAGCCGUUCGGGGCGGUAAGGGAUCGGCCAUGCGUACCAUUACGCUCGAGUGGGU